CAGGUCCAGGAGGGGAUGGUGGGUACCAAGAUGGCUUGGGCAGGACCAAGCGGAGGUGAUGGGCACCCAGAUGGCUCCAGGAGAACCAGGAUGAUGUGACAGAUGCUGAGAUGUGUCCAGCAGGAGCAUGGGGAGAUGAUGGGCACCAAGAUGGGUCCAGCAGGGUCAAGCAGAGAUGAUGGGCACCAAGAUGGGUCCAGCAUUGUCAAGCAGAGAUGAUGGGCACCACAAUGAGUUGGGCAGGACCAGGAGGAGAUGAUGGGCACCAAGAUGGGUCCAGCAGGGUCAAGCAGAGAUGAUGGGCACCAAGAUGGGUCCAGCAGGAGAUGAUGGGCACCAAGAUGGGUCCAGCAGGG